GACAGAGGGGGCAAGCGUUGCUCGGAAUUACUGGGCGUAAAGGGCGCGUAGGCGGGAUGGCAAGUCGGAUGUGAAAUCCCCAGGCUUAACCUGGGAACUGCAUCCGAUACUGGAUGGCUUGAAUCCGGGAGAGGGAUGUGGAAUUCCAGGUGUAGCGGUGAAAUGCGUAGAUAUCUGGAGGAACACCGGUGGCGAAGGCGGCAUCCUGGACCGGCAUUGACGCUGAGGCGCGAAAGCCAGGGGAGCAAACGGG
rnacentral:rRNA from 1 species